AGGUGUGUAAUGCAGUGGUUAGUGUGUUGGACUAAGACCUCGGAGACUGGGGUUCGAAUCCCCAUUCAGCCA